UCAUCUACCUACCCAUGAUUGGAAGGUGGUGAAGGUUUCCGCCCCGAUGGGAAAUGUCAGAAAGGCGACUGUUGUCCUUAAUAAGGAAACGUUGGCGCCAUUGCGUGAAUGCGGAGGUAAAGUUUACUAUGGUUUUGAUAGUAUCUCCCUUCGCAUUUAUCGCAGUGACGCCAAACGCAGCGCCGCCGCCUCUGGUACUAAGCCGGAGGCUCCGUCCAAGGAGGAUAAUGGAAAGGCCGACGAUCCCGCUGGUUCUGAGAACCAAGAAGACUCCCAGUCUACCACAGGUAUAAUGGGUGAGCUUCUUGGCAAUCUGAAGUUAGCGGAGGAUGGAGACAGUUCGCAGGAUUCCGAUCCUGAGGACGUCGACGUCACUGUCGUGUACGAUCCUGAUCUCGGAGAUGGUGAAGGUAACCCAGAUUAACCUUCACCACUCCAAAGCAGCAUCAGCUGCUUUGCUCCUCCGGAUGGCUGAGAGAGGGGAGGAGCUCAUCUUGGUCCAAGAACCGUGGACCCACCACGGCAAAAUCCUUGGACUAUCUCUCAGAGGUUACAAACUUCUGUUUUCAAAUCCUGCAGCGAUGAGGAUACGGUAGCGGCGGCACUUGAGACCGGAAACUCCACCAUCUGGCUCCUUAGCUGCUAUAUGGCGCAUGACCAUGGUGAACAACCGCCAAACGACCUGGUCAGAGAUCUAAUGCGCGAAGCAAAUAGGCGUCACGUUCCUGUGAUAAUUGGCGCUGAUGCAAAUGCUCAUCACAGUGUCUGGGGCAGUUCAGACACCAACAGUAGAGAACUUUACAUUACAUUUACAGAAGCAUCUUUGGAAUGCUACAGAAGAUUCAUGCAAAGGCGGCAAUAUGAUGAUAUGUAUUUUAGGAUCCCAUCAAAUUAAAAGGAACGACAAAUAUAAUUAAUUACAAAUUGAUGGUUGCUUGGGUAUCAUCUUCAUACUAUUUUUAUAUAUUAACGUAUUAUUUAGUAAAAAUAUGUAGGAAAUAAUAUUAUGUAUAAAUAAUUAAUAACUAAUAGUAGUAUAAAAUUGUAUAAAUUAAUAAAAAUAAA